AUCAAAUACGUACAUUUUUAAUAAAUGUUUUUUUUAUUUACUUUAACAUUUAUCAGUAUUGCACAAUUAAUAUUUAUGUCUCUAUAUACUGUAUAUAAUUAUUACAGAAUAUUUAUAUAUAUAUAUAUAUAUAUAUAUAUAUACACACACACACACACACACACACACACAUACAGUUUUGCGUUGGAUAAAGAAAAAGUAAAAUAUAGAUGUUAAAUGAAAAAUAUAAAUAUAUUAUACUGAUAGUAUAUUAAUUUAUACUGAUAUAUAUAAAUCUGAACUGAUAUAUAUACUGAUAUAUAUACUGAUAUAUAUUUCAAUAUUUAUAUAUAACUAUAUAAGUUAUAUAUAAAUAUUGAAAUAAUUCUGCAAAUAUAAUUUAGUUAUUUUUAUGUUUAUUAAUAUAAUUGCUGUGGUGAUUUAGUGAUGAUGGCAGAGAAAGUGGAAGUUUGCAUUACUUCCCUGAGAGCAGCAGGAGAAAGCCUCGACUGUAUUUUGUUCUCUGUACCCAGGUGCAUCGAAAUCCUGCAAGAUGAGCAUGUGAACCAAACACGACAUGCGGAUUCCACAAUUCAGACCAGAUGCCAAAAUAGCAGUCAGACGAUUCCACCCGCACGCAGAAGCCAAACCAGAGCCGUCACGCCAUUCAGUCAUGAAGUUUAUUUUGAAUUGGAAAAAGCAGCAGCUGAGAAGCGCUUGACUCGUGUGCGGCCUGCAGACUCUAGAUGCAUUAAGCAGGUGAGCGCGUGUGUGUUUGUGGCUCUGUUGCCCCAGACAGGGCAGGGGCCUUGGGGUCAGAAACACAGGCCUCAUUUAGGAAGUGGUUCAUGACCAGCCUGGAAACUAUUAACAGGGCUGGUCUGUAUGCCACGCCACUGUUAGACCCAUUCAACUACCUCUACACUGGCCCAAACGGGACCUGAAUGCACUGAUUUUAGGGUGAAAUCUGAACUACAGAUUUCGGAUCUAUAGCACUUUUCACAUUGUUUUAAAGCAGCUGUAAAGUCUUAAUGUUAAUGUUUAUAAUAUCUUAAUAUUUUCAUGAUUUAUAGCCGCAUAGAUUAGAGCUGGGCGAUGAUAGAGUUUACAUUUUGCAACGAUAAAAGCAGUCAAGCAGUUGAGAUUUGCUGUAUAGUAAAUAUCACUUUACGUGAGUUCACUGUAUGUGUGUGUGCAGAUAAAGUUGGAUAAACUCGUAUUUACAACUUCAUAUAAAGAGCUGGGUGAUAAUGUAGUCACAUUUUUGCAACGAUAUGAACAAUGACAUCUGCACAGAUUUGCUAUAGCGUAUGUGGUUAUUAGCAGACUUGUCG
ensembl:lncRNA